CUCAAAGCACUUCAGAGAUGGGAAGCCAACUCUGGAAUAUCCAGAUCCCAUCCGGGCUCUCGUGUGUGCUGCUCCGAAAAGACACAGACCCUCACCCAAAAAAAGAAUGAGGUGUGCUGGAGAUGUUACUGCCCUCACAGAGACGACACAGGUCAACCCAAGACAGGACAUGAGUGACAAUGAAAGAGGUCAGGGUGUGGAGGAGCCUCCAGAUGAGGAGCGCCGGCCUGUGGAGCAGCCUCCCCCAAUGGAAGGUGGACAAGACGAGCGAGAUGAAAGAUUGAGAAAUCAACAAGCACAAAUCGAA